CCGGCGACCGGCGCACGGGUGAGUAACACGUAUGAAACCUGCCCGUAGCAGGGGGAUAAGCGGAAGAAAUUCCGUCUAAUACCGCGUAACAACCCGAGGAGGCAUCUCCUCAGGUUUAAAGGAAGCGAUUCCGGCUACGGAUGGUCAUGCGUCGCAUUAGCUAGUUGGCGGGGUAACGGCCCACCAAGGCGACGAUGCGUAGGGGUUCUGAGAGGAAGGUCCCCCACACUGGUACUGAGACACGGACCAGACUCCUACGGGAGGCAGCAG
rnacentral:rRNA from 1 species